GGCAGCAGUGGGGAAUAUUGCACAAUGGGCGAAAGCCUGAUGCAGCAACGCCGCGUGAGGGAUGAAGGUUCUAGGAUUGUAAACCUCUUUGAUCAGGGAAGAAGCCGCAAGGUGACGGUACCUGAAGAACAAGCCCCGGCUAACUACGUGCCAGCAGCCGCGGUAAUACGUAGGGGGCAAGCGUUGUCCGGAAUCAUUGGGCGUAAAGAGCGCGUAGGCGGUCUGUCAAGUCCGGUGUGAAAUCUCGAGGCCUAACCUCGAGCGUGCAUCGGAAACUGUCAGACUAGAGUUCGGCAGGGGAAACUGGAAUUCCAAGUGUAGCGGUGAAAUGCGCAGAUAUUUGGAAGAACACCGGUGGCGAAGGCGGGUUUCUGGACCGCAACUGACGCUGAGGCGCGAAAGCUAGGGGAGCGAACAGGAUUAGAUACCCUGGUAGUCCUAGCCGUAAACGAUGGAUGCUAGCCGUCGGCAAGCUUGCUUGUCGGUGGCGCAGCUAACGCAUUAAGCAUCCCGCCUGGGGAGUACGGCCGCAAGGUAAAACUCAAAGGAAUGACGAAUCUCGACCGAGGCAAGUUCC
rnacentral:rRNA from 1 species